rnacentral:misc_RNA from 1 species
GUUAGAGGAUAAGUGGGAAUACUGUUGAUCAGAAAAAAUUAAAUUAGCAACUCUUUCUUGGUUUGCUUUUUCUUCUAGCUCUGCUCCUUGUAGGUUGUUGCUUUUGUGGUUGUAAAUUUUUAUCCUCUUCAAAUUCAUCUUCUUUUUUGUUUUCACCUUGUGAUUCUUCAACUUCAUUUGUUUUGAGUUUCUUUAAUUCAGCAGAAACUUCUUCUUCAUCUUCUUUUACAAUACUAAUAAUCUUUCUUGGUCUUCCUCUUUUUCUAGGAGUAA